CCAAUAGCUUGGAGAGGGUCCUCAAAUUUACACCAUCCUGCAGCCCAGCUGUCCAUCAGGGACUACUGCACUGUUUUCAGACACUUCACCAAGGAGCUGAUCUCAAGCCUUGGGUUCUCAAAGUCUCUACGUUUGCUGCUCAGCAAUGACUGAAGUCCCUGGGCUUCAGUUUUCCUUGACAGUCCUGCAGUGUCCUGGGGAGAUGCUGAUUAUGACUCCAAUCAUGAAUUUACUCAGGUCUGCUCAUGCUCCUCUCUGGACUUUUCAGACAGAUUUCUUGUGCUACAUUUAUUUCCUUGAUGCCUGAGGGGGAUUUAGGUGUAAAUCCCAAAAUUAAAGCCAUAUUGACAAAAUUUUGUCUUAAGAAGCAAUUUGAAGAUGGUGGAAGUUGAAGGCCACAUCAGGAGAGGAGUCCCAGGUGAAGCAAUUUGCAUGGGAGACAGCACAAACAGAAGACAGAAAAUUAAGGAACAGAAAACUGGAUAUGGAACCACUGGUGCAGCAACAGGGAUAAGAAUGAUCGAGCAGAAGAAAAGAAUGGUCACACAGGAAAGGGGUGAACUCUGU